AGCCGAGUCUUCAUGAGUCAAAUUGCUCCCAGUUGCAUCUCUGGUGUGGCUAUGCAGAUCUAUGCGGGAGUGGCAGUCCUUGCCACAGCAAUCGCACCUGAAGGAAGUGGCUACAGACAUGGAUUGACUGUUUUUCUCCCUUGAUCUUUUCUCCCUUUUCUCUUCUGCCAUCAGCUGGAGCUUCUCUUCGUCUUUGGUUUAGCUCACGCCUCCAACAAGAGCGAUCCAGGGCAAGCUCUUCACAACUGUUGAUGUCCAUGUCUAGGGCCUUCGUGUCUCGUUUGCAAGCAUCUUUAAAAUGAAGUUGGGGGUGACCUAGAGCUCUCUUGCCAGUUGACAGUUCACCAUAUAAAAGGUCCUUGGGGAUCCUGCCAUCCUGCAUCCUGCAAACAUGUCCUAGCCAUCGAAGAUGACGACGCAGAAGGGUGUAGAUGCUGGGUGUGGCGGCGCAUCUGAGAAUAUCUGUAUUUGGGAUUCGGUCUAUCUAACAUUUUACACAAUGCACCUUUAUUUACCUCCUAAAAGGAAUGUUAAUUUAAGUGCAUCUUAAUUCAGACACAACUCACAUUAUUUUCAUUUUAUUUUAAUUACCUCUAUUAAAUAUUUCCCAAAAUAAA